GUACGUGAAAUUGUUGAAAGGGAAGCGCUUGCAAUCAGACUUGCUCGCGGGCGAUCAGCCUCCCGUGAGGGGGGUGCACUUGCCCGCGAUCAGGCCAGCAUCGGUUUUGGCGGGCGGAUAAAGUCCCCAGGAAUGUAGCUCCCCUCGGGGAGUGUUAUAGCCUGGGGCGGAAUGCGCUCAACCGGGACCGAGGACCGCGCUUCGGCUAGGAUGCUGGCGUAAUGGUUGUAAGCGACCCGUCUUGAAACACGGACCAAGGAGUCUAACAUCUGUGCGAGUGUUUGGGUGUGAAACCCAUGCGCGGAAUGAAAGUGAACGGAGGUGGGAACCCCCUCAGGGACGCACCAUCGACCGAUCCUGAUGUCUUCGGAUGGAUUUGAGUAGGAGCAUGGCUGUUGGGACCCGAAAGAUGGUGAACUAUGCCUGAAUAGGGUGAAGCCAGAGGAAACUCUGGUGGAGGCUCGCAGCGGUUCUGACGUGCAAAUCGAUCGUCAAAUUUGGGUAUAGGGGCGAAAGGUAUGUGGAUCCUACUAACUUGUGAUGAACAUUUGGAGACGGGGGUGCUGACUUCUGUUUUAGACUAAUCGAACCAUCUAGUAAACCCACUUCUACUAGAGAUACCGGGAGCCGUCCAGGCUCCUGUAGUCCCCGUGUACGGAGGCAACACUGUCGGUCUCCGGGGAUGCCUUUCGGGCUACCCGCACUGAGCCCAAGCUCAGUCACAGACUAAGUGACGGUGGCCGCGUCUCUCUGCGG
rnacentral:rRNA from 1 species